UUACCCCUGGUGUUGGGCACGACAAACACCAAACCUCCCUGUUGGACUUAGCCCCGCCUCGUGCGGGGCUUUUUUU
rnacentral:ncRNA from 1 species